GCUACGGGUGGCAGCAGUGAGGAAUAUUGGUCAAUGGGCUUACGCCUGAACCAGCCAAGUCGCGUGAGGGAAGACUGCCCUAUGGGUUGUAAACCUCUUUUGUCAGGGAGCAAUUGGCGCUACGUGUAGCGUUAUCGAGAGUACCUGAAGAAAAAGCAUCGGCUAACUCCGUGCCAGCAGCCGCGGUAAUACGGAGGAUGCGAGCGUUAUCCGGAUUUAUUGGGUUUACAGGUUGCGUAGGCGGAAUGCCAAGUCAGAUGUGAAAACCACGGGCUCAACCUGUGGCCUGCAUUUGAAACUGUAGUUCUUGAGUACUGGAGAGGCAGACGGAAUUCCUAGUGUAGCGGUGAAAUGCGUAGAUAUUAGGAGGAACACCAGUGGCGAAGGCGGUCUGCUGGACAGCAACUGACGCUGAGGCGCGAAAGCGUGGGGAGCAAACAGGAUUAGAUACCCGUGUAGUC
rnacentral:rRNA from 1 species